CUCUGUUUUCCAAGCUGUGCCUCCUUCCCGCCUCUCCUGACUUCCUCCUGGAAGGAAGAUCCCUGAGCAGUCCGUUAAGACCGCUUUGGGGCAGAGGAUUUGGAGAAACCCAGGGCUGAAGUUACCUUUUUUCCUUCUUUCAGCUCUACCUCGGCAUCUCUCUCCAUGGCAGUUCCGGAGACCCACCCCAACCACACUAUUUAUAUCAACAUUCUCAACGAGAAGAUCAAGAAGGAUGAGCUGAAGAAGUCCCUCUACGCCAUCUUCUCCCAGUUUGGCCAGAUCCUGGAUAUCCUGGUUUCCCGAAGCCUGAAGAUGAAGGGCCAGGCAUUUGUCAUUUUCAAGGAGGUCAGCAGCGCCACCAAUGCCCUGCGCUCCAUGCAGGGUUUCCCCUUCUACGACAAGCCCAUGCGCAUUCAGUAUGCCAAGACUCACUCGUAUAUCAUUGCCAAGAUGAAGGGCACCUUCGUGGAGCGGGACCACAAACGGGAGAAGAGGAAGCCCAAGAGCCAGGAGACCCCAGCGGCCAAGAAGGCCGUACAGGGUGGGACAGCCGCCCCCGUGGUGGGGGCUGUCCAGGGGCCUGUCCCAGGCAUGCCCCCGAUGACCCAGGCGCCCCGCAUCAUGCACCACAUGCCUGGCCAGCCUCCCUACAUGCCGCCUCCUGGCAUGAUCCCACCUCUAGGCCUGGCUCCUGGCCAGAUCCCGCCAGCUUAUGCCGGGGCAGGUGCCGCCUGCUCAGCCUCUUUCAGAAAAUCCACCAAAUCACAUCUUAUUCCUCACCAACUUGCCCGAGGAGACCAACGAGCUCAUGCUGUCCAUGCUUCUCAACCAGUUCCCUGGCUUCAAGGAGGUCCAACUGGUCCCUGGGCGGCACGACAUUGCCUUUGUGGAAUUUGACAAUGAGGUACAGGCAGGGGCUGCUCGUGACGCACUGCAGGGCUUCAAGAUCACCCAGAACAAUGCCAUGAAGAUCUCCUUUGCCAAGAAGUAGCACAUUUUCCCCCUGCCUGCCCCUGCCCCCUGUUCUGGGGCCACCCCUUCCCCCCCUUGGCUCAGCCCCCUGAAGUUCAAGGAUGCCAAAGACCCAACAUAUACCCUGAGGGAAGCAACAAGGGAGAAAGCGUCCUGCCCCAAAGGUCAUACCCUAACAUCAAGUUAUUGCCCAUCAGGACUUCUGGACAUACCCCAGAGUUUCCUGAUCUCUACCACUUCCAGCACUCUACAGAUGGCCACAAUGACUAAAUGAUGGAACAACUAUAUCUUUGCGAGAUACCAUAUUCAAAUACACCAGGUACAGUGAGUUGCAGCUAACAUCAAGACUUGGGUACCAAAUUUUAAACAUUACAGAAGAUGCAUCCUUUUGUUCCCAAAAGGCAGAAUAAGACAUAUAUAAAACUUCAGGUGAUU